rnacentral:rRNA from 1 species
CGGCGUGGAUGAGGCAUGCAAGUCGCACGAGACAACUUCGGUUGUCUAGUGGCGGAAGGGUUAGUAACACAUGAGUAACCUACCUUUAACACAGGGAUAACGGCUGGAAACGGCCGCUAAUACCUGAUGAGGUAAAGAUAUCAAAAGAAGUUUUUAUCAGAGUAGGGGACCUUCGGGCCUUGCGGUUGAAGAGGGGCUCAUGGGAUAUCAGCUAGUUGGUGAGGUAAAAGCUCACCAAGGCAAAGACGUCUAGGCGGGUUGAGAGAUCGACCGCCAACACUGGGACUGAGACACUGCCCAGACUCCUACGGGAGGCUGCAGUCGAGAAUCUUUCGCAAUGGGCGCAAGCCUGACGAAGCGACGCCGUGUGAACGAAGAAGGCCUUCGGGUUGUAAAGUUCUUUCGCUGGGGAACAAGGGAGAUAGGAUAAUACCCUAUUGACUUGAUGGUACUCGGUAAAGAAGCACCGGCUAACUCCGUGCCAGCAGCUGCGGUAAUACGGAGGGUGCAAGCAUUGAUCGGAAUUACUGGGCGUAAAGGGCGCGUAGGCGGCUUUGUAAGUCAGAUGUGAAAUUCCGGGGCUCAACCCCGGAGCUGCAUUUGAGACUGCAGAGCUAGAGUACAGUUAGGGAAAACGGAAUUCCACGUGUAGCGGUGAAAUGCGUAGAUAUGUGGAAGAACACCGGUGGUGAAGACGGUUUUCUGGGCUGGAUCUGACGCUGAGGCGCGAAAGCAUGGGUAGCAAACAGGAUUAGAUACCCUGGUAGUCCAUGCCAUAAACGAUGCAUACUAGGUGUAGGAGGGCUCAACCCCCUCUGUACCGGAGCUAACGCAUUAAGUAUGCCGCCUGGGGAGUAUGCUCGCAAGGGUGAAACUCAAAAGAAUUGACGGGGGCCCGCACAAGCAGUGGAGCAUGUGGUUUAAUUCGAUGCAACGCGAAGAACCUUACCUGGGCUCGAAAUGUAGAGGACGAUAUCAGAGAUGAUAUUUCCCGCAAGGGUCUUUAUAUAGGUGCUGCAUGGCUGUCGUCAGCUCGUGCCGUGAGGUGUUUGGUUAAGUCCAGCAACGAGCGCAACCCUUAUC